rnacentral:rRNA from 1 species
AAAGAGUUAAAUAAUUAUUAAAGUUAUUGUGGCAUAAUUAUUUUAAAUAAUUAUUUUGAAAUGAAAUGUUAUUCGUUUUAAAAGAUAUCUAGUUUUUUUAGAAAAAAAUUUAAUUUUUAAUUUUAAUUAAAAAAAAAUUAAUUAAUUAAUUUUUUUUAAUUAAAAUUAUAUAUUUUAAGGGAUAAGCUUUAAAUUAAAUUUUUAUAAUUAUUUAUUUUAAUUUAAUGAAAAUUUUAUAAUUUAUAUUGUUAAUAAAUUUUAUUUUAUUAUAAAUAAUUUCAUUAAAAAAAAAAAUUUAAAGUAUAAUUUAAUUUUUUAUAAAAAUAUAAUUUUAAAUUAAAUAAAAUUAAAAAUAAUGAUAAAAUUAGUAUAUUAAAAUAAAAUAAAUUAAUUUUAAAUUAAAAAUUUAUUUAAAUUAAUUAAUUAAAAGGAAUUCGGCAAAAUUUAUUUUCACUUGUUUAUCAAAAACAUGUCUUUUUGUUAUUUAUUUAAAGUCUAAUCUGCCCACUGAUUAAAAUUAAAGGGCUGCAGUAUAUUGACUGUACAAAGGUAGCAUAAUCAUUAGUCUCUUAAUUGGUGACUUGUAUGAAAGAUUGGAUGAAAAAUAUACUGUCUCUUAAUUAUUUAAUAAAAUUUAAUUUUUUAUUUAAAAAGUUAAAAUAAGUUAAAAAGACGAGAAGCCCCUAUAGAGUUUUAUAAAUAUUUUUAUAAUGAAUUAUUUAUUUAAAUAAAAUUUUUAUAAAUUUAUUUAUUUUGUUGGGGUGAUAAAAAAAUAAAUUUAACUUUUUUUUUAUUUAAACAUAAAUAAGUGAAUUUUUGAUCCAUUAAUAUUGAUUAAAAGAUUAAAUUCCCUUAGGGAUAACAGCGUAAUUUUUUUUUUUAGUUCGUAUAAAAAAAAAAGUUUGCGACCUCGAUGUUGGAUUAAGAUAAAAUUUAAAUGCAAAAGUUUAAAAUUUUUG